rnacentral:hammerhead_ribozyme from 1 species
UGUAGUAACCAACCUCAUGCUGAUGAGUUUCAAUAAGAACGAAACAGCUGUCCGUGAGUAGUUCACUGGCUUUGCU